UGUCCUUGACACCUCUGUAUAACAUGUGUUGGCUAUAAAGGAAUGGGGAUAUUUAUAGCCAACUCAUGUUAUACAGAGGUGUCACUUUGGAUAUUU
rnacentral:miRNA from 1 species